AUGUGACCUCGGCAUAAGCUAACUGUGCAAUAGGCCUUUUGAUUCCAUUAUGUAAUUCGUUGAAGACGAUUUUUGAGCUUGGUUCGUCUCGGGGAAGGAGUGUAUACGUAGGAGCUUCAAUAAAGUGAAAAUUUUGAAAGCAGUCCGUCACAGAAGUCGUCUGCAACAGGUACCCAUCUCCGCGAAGCAUCCCACAAGAUGAAGCUGUUCGUUGUAACUUUGGCUGCUCUGCUAGCAGUAAUAUCUGCCUCUCCUAGGACUGGCCCAUUUAAAGUUUCAGUUGAAAAAAUUGAAACCAACCUCAGUCCAAGAGUAAGAAGAGCGGCAUUGAGCCUUGAUGAAUACCGUCAGGAGCAACUUGUAGACCACAACAAUUACCGCGAUGUCCACGAUGCAUCCCCUCUAUCCCUCGAUGCUAAUCUUAACGCCGAGGCGCAAGCGUACGCCGAGCACCUCGCACAGCUGGGUUCCAUGACACAUUGUACCAGAGCAAAGCGACAGCUGAACCAAGCCGGGAUAGGUUGUGAUGAAGGAAUCCAUGGCAACGGGGAAAACCUCGCCUGGAGCAGCUCUCAAACCACAGACCUCAACACUGCAACCAAGAUGUGGUACGAUGAAGUGUGCCUCUAUGACUUCGGUAAUCACGGAUUCAGUAUGGAGACUGGACAUUUCACACAGGUUGUGUGGAGGCCAGCCACUUUGCUGGGAAUAGGACGAGCUUCUGGUAGCAGUGGGACCUUUGUGGUUGCUCGUUACAACGUUCAACAGGGAAUGUCAUUCGCCACAAACGUUGGCGACAAACCUGCCAGUUUGGAUGACGAUUGUGGCACAGCUGGAACUGAUGAGCCCGAAGAACCUGUUGCACCUGUGGAAGUGUCCGCCCUAGCUGAUGCCCGAAAGGACGUAUGCACAAAUUUGGGAUACCCGUACCCCGACCACACUCCAUACCCCGACCAAUUUGGCUAUAACUCCUGUUGGUUGGUCUGCGGUAACCCUGCCAGUCAAUACUCUUUCUACAUCUUCCCUACCUAUUUCUUCUCUGAUGUCAUCGACUGCAAAAAAUCCGAUGGCAGUUUCGGUGUAUGCAGUGGCGAAGUCUGCAACUAAAAGAUAUCAGUAUUGACCCGGUGAAACCAUCGAAUACGCGUGAUCACAAAACACGAUGGACAAUACCGAUGAUGACGUCAUAGUUCUGAAUUAGAUAUAUUUUUACAAACUUAUGUAGACCUUUUCGUACUGUGUAUCUCUGAAUAAGAUAUAUUUUUACAAACUUAUGUAGACCUUAUCGUACUGUGUAUCUCUGAAUAAGAUAUAUUUUUACAAACUUAUGUAGACCUUAUCGUACUGUGUAUCUCUGAAGUAGAUAUAUUUUUACAAACUUAUAAAGAGUAAACUGAUAAACAUUUUUCUUCCUUGGAUCGGAAAGCAGAUACCAUAUUAAUGUUACUUAAUGCUAUCACGCUAUUACAUCUCGAGCUUUGUAGACUCAGUUGAAAAAAUACAUUCAUAUUUGACAUUUUGAGUUGGAAUGAAGAAAGCCAUUUCUUUGUUAGCUACUUUGAAAUGUAAAACGUAUGACAGUGUUUCGACUCUCCUGAGUAUUUGCAGUAAACUAUUACCCAUAAGAUUAUACUCUUUAAAAUGGCUUUUCUUCAAUAGAAAUACACGUACUGUAGCAUCUA
rnacentral:misc_RNA from 1 species